rnacentral:rRNA from 1 species
UACGUAGGUGGCUAGCGUUGUCCGGAUUUACUGGGCGUAAAGAGCGCGCAGGCGGUCGUUCAAGUCGAGUGUGAAAGCCCCCGGCUCAACUGGGGAGGGUCACGCGAUACUGAUCGACUCGAAGGCAGGAGAGGGUAGUGGAAUUCCCGGUGUAGUGGUGAAAUGCGUAGAUAUCGGGAGGAACACCAGUGGCGAAGGCGACUACCUGGCCUGUUUCUUGACGCUGAGGCGCGAAAGCUAGGGGAGCAAACGGG